UACGUAGGGUGCAAGCGUUAAUCGGAAUUACUGGGCGUAAAGCGUGCGCAGGCGGUUUUGUAAGUCUGUCGUGAAAUCCCCGGGCUCAACCUGGGAAUUGCGAUGGAGACUGCAAGGCUAGAAUCUGGCAGAGGGGGGGUAGAAUUCCACGUGUAGCAGUGAAAUGCGUAGAGAUCUGGAGGAACACCGGAUGGCGAAGGCGAGCCCUC
rnacentral:rRNA from 1 species